rnacentral:rRNA from 1 species
GACGAACGCUGGCGGCGUGCCUAAUACAUGCAAGUAGAACGCUGAAGGAGGAGCUUGCUUCUCUGGAUGAGUUGCGAACGGGUGAGUAACGCGUAGGUAACCUGCCUGGUAGCGGGGGAUAACUAUUGGAAACGAUAGCUAAUACCGCAUAAUAGUAGAUGUUGCAUGACAUUUGCUUAAAAGGUGCAAUUGCAUCACUACCAGAUGGACCUGCGUUGUAUUAGCUAGUUGGUGGGGUAACGGCUCACCAAGGCGACGAUACAUAGCCGACCUGAGAGGGGGAGCGGCCACGCUGAGACUGGGACACGGCCCAGACUCCUGCGGGAGGCAGCAGUAGGGAAUCCUCAGCAAUGGACGGAAGUCUGACCGAGCAACGCCGCGUGAGUGAAGGAUGUUUUCGGGUCGUGAAGCUCUGGUGUAAUUGAAGAACGAGUGUGAGAGUGAGAAGUGCACACUGUGACGGUAUCUGACCAGAAAGGGACGGCUAACUACGUG